rnacentral:lncRNA from 1 species
UUACCUACCUAAACCCUAAUCCACUCACACACACUCACUCACUCUGAAGAAGAAGCGCCACACACUCCUAUCUAACUAUCUCACUCACGCACACAAACUGCUCUCUCACUCACUCAGUGUCAGUCACCACUCUCCUCUCUCUCAGUCACAGAUUUACAGUCAUUCACUCUUUGCUGCCGUCGCCGUCCAGCAAAGGGCAGAACCUGUCGUUUUUAUCUCGUCGUCCGUCGAAGCCUCACGACAUCCAUCAGCGUCGUCUAGCAGCGGCGUCGUUCUCAGUGUGGUCGCUCUCGGCAGCUGCGUGCGUUAGGCUCCGUCAUCUUCAGCCUCUCCACCGUUGUUCAUGGCCCUCUGCCAGCCGCCAUACUUCGUCGUUCUCAGUCUCUGCGCAUCCAUGGUUGCAAUGGAGUCUCAGGUAUCACUUGUUCAUUCUUUGUUCUGAUUUCUUGUUUAUUAUGAUUUUUAAAAUUUUCAAGCCUAAGGAUUUUUAUUUAUUUAAUUCUAUUUGUAAAUUGUGUUUACUUGCUGAAACUUGCAAAUUCUUUGUUCUGAUUCCUUAGGAUUUUUUUUAGGUUUGUUUGUGAAUUUUGUUUUAUUUGCUAGAAUUCGUUGUUAUGGUUCUGAUUUUUAAAACAAUACAAAAAUUGAGACACGAACCCUGUUAUCCUACUUUGAAGAUUGAGAUUAAAAUAAGUUAAUGAAUGAUAUUUCAAACAAGUUUCUGUACAUGUUAUAAGUUAGAAAUUUUUUUGAUUUCCAUUUUGAAGGUUAGUUAGGCCAAGAGGGUAAUGAUUAUCCAAUAUAAUUUAGUUUCAUUGUCUAGUGAUCACAUAUCUCUAGCCUAUGUUGGAUUUUAACUUAAAUAAAUAUAACUCAGUUUCAUUGUUUGGUAUUCAUUUUUUAGUUAUAACUCAGUUUCUGAUUUCAGGUUCUUUGCUUGCUAAACAAUGUUUUGCUAUCGUCCUAGCAUCUUUCCUUCUCUUAGGGUUUUUAAUUUCUUCUUAAUUCUGUUUUUAAAUCCUUUUUAAUUGUCAUAAUUUGUUGUUAUGAUUCUGAUUUUUAAAUUCUGUUUUAAAAAUUUUCAAGUCUUAGGGUUUUUUUUAAUUCUAUUUAUUUCUCACAAUUUGUUGUCAUAAUUCUAUUUUUAAUCUAUCAUUUGUUACUUGCUGAUUUUUGUUAGGAUUAUUUGCUGAUGGCUCUGAUUGUUUAAUUUCAUUGUUUUUGUUUUUGUUAAUUAUAAUCUGAUUAUUUGUUAGGAUUAUUUGUUGAUAGCUCUGAUUGUUUAAUUUCAUUGUUUUUGUUCUUGUUGAUUUUAAUCUGAUUCUUUUAAUUUGGUUGUUUUAUCUUUUUGGUGGGUUGAAUUUUUAAGCUUCUGUUGGCGACACGAAGAUGAAGGGGUUGUGAUCCUUAGAGUAAUGAAAAAUUGGGAAUAUAUGAUAUACAUAAUUUGGAGGAUUGGGCAAAAGAAAAAUAUAAUGGUGCAAAUCUAUACUUACACAAUGCCAAUGUUUCCUUUAAUUUGUUGAACUUUGAACUAUCUUAGUUAUUCUAUUGUAAUAUUGCAGACUAUUUUUAGCUAUUUUGCUACACUCUCAUCCCUCAACUCGCUCAUUUUCAUGAUUAAUUGAACUUGAUUUUUACUAGAUAAGUUCCACUAAUUUGUCGUGAAUGUUGCAGCCUUCAUAGCAAUUUUACUAUUUUUUUAUACUUCAGUCUUGGCUCUAACAUUUCUUGCAGUUUUAAGCUUUUUUUUUUUCUGAAAUUAAUUGAAAACCGAACAAAUCGAACCAAAUCAAACCAAACCGAUUUCAAUAGGUUUGGUUUGGUUUGGAUGGUCUCAAUAAAAAAUCGAACCAAACUGAACCGCAG